rnacentral:rRNA from 1 species
GACGAACGCUGGCGGCGUGCUUAACACAUGCGAGUCGAACGGAAAGGCCCUGCUUUUGUGGGGUGCUCGAGUGGCGAACGGGUGAGUAACACGUGAGUAACCUGCCCUUGACUUUGGGAUAACUUCAGGAAACUGGGGCUAAUACCGGAUAGGAGCUCCUGCUGCAUGGUGGGGGUUGGAAAGUUUCGGCGGUUGGGGAUGGACUCGCGGCUUAUCAGCUUGUUGGUGGGGUAGUGGCUUACCAAGGCUUUGACGGGUAGCCGGCCUGAGAGGGUGACCGGCCACCUUGGGACUGAGAUACGGCCCAGACUCCUACGGGAGGCAGCAGUGGGGAAUAUUGCACAAUGGGCGGAAGCCUGAUGCAGCAACGCCGCGUGCGGGAUGCCGGCCUUCGGGUUGUAAACCGCUUUCGCCUGUGACGAAGCGUGAGUGACGGUAAUGGGUAAAGAAGCACCGGCUAACUACGUG